AUGAACGCUGGCGGCGUGCCUAAUACAUGCAAGCCGAGCGAACAGAUAAGGAGCUUGCUCCUUUGACGUUAGCGGCGGACGGGUGAGUAACACGUGGAUAACCUACCUAUAAGACUGGGAUAACUUCGGGAAACCGGAGCUAAUACCGGAUAACAUAUUGAACCGCAUGGUUCAAUAGUGAAAGGCGGCUUUGCUGUCACUUAUAGAUGGAUCCGCGCCGUAUUAGCUAGUUGGUAAGGUAACGGCUUACCAAGGCAACGAUACGUAGCCGACCUGAGAGGGUGAUCGGCCACACUGGAACUGAGACACGGUCCAGACUCCUACGGGAGGCAGCAGUAGGGAAUCUUCCGCAAUGGGCGAAAGCCUGACGGAGCAACGCCGCGUGAGUGAUGAAGGUCUUCGGAUCGUAAAACUCUGUUAUCAGGGAAGAACAAAUGUGUAAGUAACUGUGCACAUCUUGACGGUACCUGAUCAGAAAGCCACGGCUAACUACGUG
rnacentral:rRNA from 1 species